GACGAACGCUGGCGGCGUGCUUAACACAUGCAAGUCGAACGGAAAGGCCCUGCUUUUGUGGGGUGCUCGAGUGGCGAACGGGUGAGUAACACGUGAGUAACCUGCCCUUGACUUUGGGAUAACUUCAGGAAACUGGGGCUAAUACCGGAUAGGAGCUCCUGCUGCAUGGUGGGGGUUGGAAAGUUUCGGCGGUUGGGGAUGGACUCGCGGCUUAUCAGCUUGUUGGUGGGGUAGUGGCUUACCAAGGCUUUGACGGGUAGCCGGCCUGGGAGGGUGGCCGGCCACAUUGGGCCUGAGAUACGGCCCAGACUCCUACGGGAGGCAGCAGUGGGGAAUAUUGCACAAUGGGCGGAAGCCUGAUGCAGCAACGCCGCGUGCGGGAUGACGGCCUUCGGGUUGUAAACCGCUUUCGCCUGUGACGAAGCGUGAGUGACGGUAAUGGGUAAAGAAGCACCGGCUAACUACGUG
rnacentral:rRNA from 1 species